rnacentral:rRNA from 1 species
GACGAACGCUGGCGGCGUGCUUAACACAUGCAAGUCGAACGGUGAACUCCGCUUGCGGGGGGAUCAGUGGCGAACGGGUGAGUAACACGUGGGCAACCUGCCCUCAUCUCUGGGAUAACUCCAAGAAAUUGGGGCUAAUACCGGAUAUGACCGCUGACCGCAUGGUCUGGUGGUGGAAAGAUUUAUCGGCUGGGGAUGGGCCCGCGGCCUAUCAGCUUGUUGGUGGGGUAGUGGCCUACCAAGGCGACGACGGGUAGCCGGCCUGAGAGGGUGACCGGCCACACUGGGACUGAGACACGGCCCAGACUCCUACGGGAGGCAGCAGUGGGGAAUAUUGCGCAAUGGGCGAAAGCCUGACGCAGCGACGCCGCGUGGGGGAUGACGGCCUUCGGGUUGUAAACCUCUUUCAGCAGGGACGAAGCGAAAGUGACGGUACCUGCAGAAGAAGCACCGGCCAACUACGUG